AUGAACGCUGGCGGCGUGCCUAAUACAUGCCAGUCGAGCGAACAGACGAGGAGCUUGCUCCUCUGAUGUUAGCGGCGGACGGGUGAGUAACACGUGGAUAACCUACCUAUAAGACUGGGAUAACUUCGGGAAACCGGAGCUAAUACCGGAUAACAUGUUGAACCGCAUGGUUCAACAGUGAAAGACGGUCUUGCUUUCACUUAUAGAUGGAUCCGCGCCGCAUUAGCUAGUUGGUAAGGUAACGGCUUACCAAGGCAACGAUGCGUAGCCGACCUGAGAGGGUGAUCGGCCACACUGGAACUGAGACACGGUCCAGACUCCUACGGGAGGCAGCAGUAGGGAAUCUUCCGCAAUGGGCGAAAGCCUGACGGAGCAACGCCGCGUGAGUGAAGAAGGUCUUCGGAUCGUAAAACUCUGUUAUUAGGGAAGAACAAAUGUGUAAGUAACUAUGCACGUCUUGACGGUACCUAAUCAGAAAGCCACGGCUAACUACGUG
rnacentral:rRNA from 1 species